rnacentral:rRNA from 1 species
CAGGCUUAACACAUGCAAGUCGAGGGGCAGCAUGGUCUUAGCUUGCUAAGGCCGAUGGCGACCGGCGCACGGGUGAGUAACGCGUAUCCAACCUGCCUUACACUCUUGGACAGCCUUCUGAAAGGGAGAUUAAUACAAGAUGUUAUCAUGAGUAAGCAUUUUCGCAUGAUUAAAGGUUUACCGGUGUAAGAUGGGGAUGCGUUCCAUUAGAUAGUAGGCGGGGUAACGGCCCACCUAGUCUUCGAUGGAUAGGGGUUCUGAGAGGAAGGUCCCCCACAUUGGAACUGAGACACGGUCCAAACUCCUACGGGAGGCAGCAGUGAGGAAUAUUGGUCAAUGGACGAGAGUCUGAACCAGCCAAGUAGCGUGAAGGAUGAAGGUUCUAUGGAUUGUAAACUUCUUUUAUACGGGAAUAAACGGAUCCACGUGUGGAUUUUUGCAUGUACCGUAUGAAUAAGGAUCGGCUAACUCCGUGCCAGCAGCCGCGGUAAUACGGAGGAUCCGAGCGUUAUCCGGAUUUAUUGGGUUUAAAGGGAGCGUAGAUGGGUUGUUAAGUCAGUUGUGAAAGUUUGCGGCUCAACCGUAAAAUUGCAAUUGAUACUGGCAGUCUUGAGUACAGUUGAGGUAGGCGGAAUUCGUGGUGUAGCGGUGAAAUGCUUAGAUAUCACGAAGAACUCCGAUUGCGAAGGCAGCUUACUAACCUGUAACUGACAUUGAUGCUCGAAAGUGUGGGUAUCAAACAGGAUUAGAUACCCUGGUAGUCCACACGGUAAACGAUGAAUACUCGCUGUAGGCGAUAUACAGUCUGCGGCCAAGCGAAAGCAUUAAGUAUUCCACCUGGGGAGUACGCCGGCAACGGUGAAACUCAAAGGAAUUGACGGGGGCCCGCACAAGCGGAGGAACAUGUGGUUUAAUUCGAUGAUACGCGAGGAACCUUACCCGGGCUUAAAUUGCAACCGAAUAUGGCGGAAACGCUAUAGCUAGCAAUAGCGGUUGUGAAGGUGCUGCAUGGUUGUCGUCAGCUCGUGCCGUGAGGUGUCGGCUUAAGUGCCAUAACGAGCGCAACCCUUGCCGAUAGUUACUAACAGGUCAUGCUGAGGACUCUGUCGGGACUGCCAUCGUAAGAUGUGAGGAAGGUGGGGAUGACGUCAAAUCAGCACGGCCCUUACGUCCGGGGCUACACACGUGUUACAAUGGGGGGUACAGAGGGCUGCUACCACGCAAGUGGAUGCCAAUCCCAAAAACCUCUCUCAGUUCGGAUUGAAGUCUGCAACCCGACUUCAUGAAGCUGGAUUCGCUAGUAAUCGCGCAUCAGCCACGGCGCGGUGAAUACGUUCCCGGGCCUUGUACACACCGCCCGUCAAGCCAUGGGAGCCGGGGGUACCUGAAGUGCGUAACCGCAAGGAGCGCCCUAGGGUAAAACUGGUGACUGGGGCUA